rnacentral:lncRNA from 1 species
UCGGGAACGCAGGGGUCGGGGGGGGGGUCUGGGGCCCUCCGGAGAGGCCAGGUGGAAGUUCGGUCGCUUUCUUGCUUCUCGGGAAACUUUCUUAGCUCUUCCUCUCUCCCGAAAGGGACCCAGAGUCCAAGAGAACCCUUUCCAGGGCUUUUUCUCCUUCCGCCCCACAAGGACCCCCGACCCCCAAAGCAGCCCGUUUGCGGCGAGGGGAAACCGCCUCCUUCCUCGGAAACACCGAAGCCGGCCACAGACUUCUGCUGGUGUGGAGGAGAUGGUGCAGUCCUUCGCGGGGAAACGCUGCCGCUGGAGCUCCACCUGCUGUAUUUUUAACCCAAGCUGGUCACCCCGUUAGAACCCUUUUCUCCGUAUAUUAAUUCUGCACAACCCCAUCCUCUGUCAGUUGGUGCUUUUCCUGGGUCACAGUCUUGUGGAGCCAUGAAGGAUGUAGUCCUUGGGCCACAGCCAACAGGAGGCUCCCGGAAUCCUUGUGGGGCAAGCGGAUACUGGAGCUCAGGCAGCCAUUUUGGCACCAUGAGGUAAACCAGCCUCGUGGCGGAUGCGUGUGGCUGAAAGACAAGGGAGCCUCACAGACACCUCAGACUCCAAAGUUCUUUCCCCG